rnacentral:rRNA from 1 species
UACGUAGGGUCCGAGCGUUGUCCGGAGUUACUGGGCGUAAAGGGCUCGUAGGCGGCCAACUAAGUCAGACGUGAAAUCCCUCGGCUUAACCGGGGAACUGCAUCUGAUACUGGAUGGCUUGAGUUCGGGAGAGGGAUGCGGAAUUCCAGGUGUAGCGGUGAAAUGCGUAGAUAUCUGGAGGAACACCGGUGGCGAAGGCGGCAUCCUGGACCGACACUGACGCUGAGGAGCGAAAGCCAGGGGAGCAAACGGG